rnacentral:lncRNA from 1 species
GGAACCAGGACAGGAAGCAGGGCAGGAGCCCCGCAGGAGCCAGGUGUCUGAGCCCCGCCCCGCCGCGGGGGAGAGGCCUCCGGGAGCCGGGGCCGCCCAGAGCCGCAGCCGCCGCGCAGGCAGGGCCGGGCCGGGCCGGGUGCGCGGGCACAAAGGGGCCGCUGCACAUGGCAGGCAGGCGAGCAGAUGCCAGCAGACAGCUUUUGUCGUCCAGUCUCCCAGUCAUCCGCCUGACCUGCUCCUGUCUGAACAUCCUACCGCGAGUCAAGGCAAAUGGGCUCAGCCGCUGUUCCACUCCACCCAGGCUUGGAGUGGACUCCCCGUGAGCCUGCAGAGGGGCAGGAUGCUGAGUAGCAGGCCAUGCGGGUGCGCCCGGGGUCUCACCCCAGCCCCAGGGAAGAGGCUGUUUCAUUCAGUGAACCAAGAGGGUACAAAGGUUCACCUUUCUCUGCAUCCUCACCAGCAUCUGUUAUUCCCUGCCCUUUUGAUAAAAGCCAUUUUAACGGAGUAGAGUAAAAUAAAUUAAACAUGGAGAAACCCAGAAGAAAAAAAGAAAGCAGAGAAAGCAACAGCAGAGAGGAGAUCUCAGCAAACUUUGGAAGUUGACAGGAAAAUCAGUGGAUGGCCAGAAACCAAAACUUUACACUGACGGGAAGAUCAGAAGAAAGGAACAGAUUUAAACUACUCAACUCUGGGACAGCUCAGAAGUGAGAGGUACUGGGUAAGCACUUCAGAAGCAUAGGUGCAGGGUGGAAGUAAAAGCAAGAGGAAAGUUGAUGGUGCUUGUAAGAAACAGUCAAACCACCAUGCUGCACUCCUCCCCUGGCCCCCCAAACAACCAGGAAUUACCCUGCCCCUCCACAAGUGAAAGCCAGGGUUGAACUAUUAUGGACUCUAAUCUUUGAGCUACUCGCUCUGAUUUAGGGCAAGAUAACAUUCUGUACUAAAAACUCAAGUGGAAACCUACACACUGAACUUCAGAUUUCCAGCCACAAUUCUCUCCCACUCCCACCAUGCCAUGUAUCUGCUCAGAUCCCGUUACACUGGCAGCCAGGCAUAUACUCCCAGGCAGGAGCUAAGACAAUGCAUCAUUACUGGCAAAGUAACCAGCCCCCUCCUCCCCGAUUCUGUAGAUACUGGUAUUUGGAGUUCUCCUGCGAAAAGGCCAGGGACAUCUAGCACCACCCAGCGAGACCUACUCAUUGACAGGUUCCACCCAGGUAGGCAGAAUUUCCAAUGAGCUUUUAGUGCUUGGAACUUAAAUAUGAAUAAACAAAAUCAUCAGAAAUUUGAGGGAAGCUUUUUAGCAUGGAAAACAAAAAGGGAAACAGAAAAAAGAAACUCAGAGGAAACAGAUAAUUCAAGGAAGAAGAAAACUUCAAAAUUAAGGUAUCAUAUCCAUGAAGAAAAACCAGAUUAUAAACAUGAACAUUUAGAAAGCCAAAGAAGAGCUUUUGGAAAUAAAAUACGAUUGCAGAAAUUAAAAUUUUAACACAAGGGCCAGGCGAGGUGUUCAUGCCUAUAAUCCCUGCACUUUGGGAGGCCAAGGUGGGAGGACUGAGCCCAGGAGUAAAUCCAAGACCAGCCUGAGCAACAUAAUGUGACCCUGUCUCUGCAAAAAAUAAUUUUUAAAAAUUUAGCCAGGCAUGGUGGUGCAUGUCUGUAGUCCCAGCUACUUGGGAGGCUGAGGUGGGAGGAUGUUUGAGCCUGGGAAGAUGAGGCUUCAGGGAGCUGUGAUCACCAACUGCAUUCCAGCCUGGGCAACAAAGUGAGUCCCUGUCUCAAACAAGCAAACAAAAUUCAACACAAAGUUCAGAAAAUAAAGAUGAUGAAAUAUCUCAGUAAUUAAAAGGAAAAUGUCAAUGAGGCAGAAAAUUGGACAAUAAAUUAUAAGAUAAGUAGAGGUUCAUUCAUUCAUUCAUUGAAUGCCUACUAUGUGCUAGAUAUUAUUCACAAUAUAUGAGUGAACAAACCAACAGAAGAUCCCUGCCCUCAAGGACUUUACAUAUUAACUGCAGAAGUCAGAAAAUAAACAAUAAACAUAAUAAGUAAAUUACAUAAUAUGUUAAGAGAUAGUGCUUUGUUCAAAAAGAAAAAAAAAGCAGGGAAAGGGGAUUGGGAGUGCUGAGAGGGUUUUGUGGUUUGUUUUUUCCAUUUUCUGUCUUUCUGUUUUGUUUUGGUUUUGGGUGUGUGUUUGUUUGUUUGUUUGUUUGUUUGUUUGAG